GGUUAACCACUGCUGGGAGGAAGGAUCUGCGAUAACGCUCCUUUGUGCAUUUAGGAUGCAGCAGUCUGUCACUGAAGGAGCUCUUUAGCAAGGAUUAUUUUACCUUCUGUAUCCCACCAGCUGUUCUAAGAAAGAUGACAUGGUUAUGUCCACAUUGUUUUAGCUAAAACAUCAAAGAUUUCUGAGAUUAAACCCGUUCGUACGGAAGAAUGUAAAUCAGCCUUUCACUCUGAGGAAACUCUCCAACUUUUUUCAAACACUCACAUUAUUCUGCUUAUUAAAAUCACACCAUGUUUGAUUAUUUCCCCCCAGGAUGAAGUUUGAUUUUAUAUUUAAUUUCAUUUGCAUCUGGACUUCAGGUCAUAUGGAUGUAAAAUUUCAGCAGCUUUAAAAGAUCUAAGGACAUUUCCAGAGGUGAGUAGUAACUAAUUAGAUUUACUCAUCUUAUUAUUUUCAUUUUGGUCUAUAGAAUACCAUGAUUUGUACACAGCUUUGUAUUUUUGUCUUUCUGAUGACAACAUUCCAAAUAUCAAAUCAGAUAUCAGUACUUGAGUCUUCUUUUUACCAAAUAGUUUUUACUAACACUUGAGUAGUUUAGUUUCUUUUUACUUUUACUCCAGUAAAAGUAUGUUGAAGUAGAGCUAUUCUGACUCGAGUACACUUUUUUUUGUCCUCUUCUCUCCUCUGCAAGUUUCUCUAUUGGAGACCAAAUAAACAAAACAUGUUGCAGUUCCAUAAAACAAGCAGCAGGGGGCGAUCUUCUCCACCGGCAGGACCCGCACCAUGCGGCAGCUGAUGUCACAGGAAGUCGGGGUCAGGACAUCUUAUGAGCUGGAGGCUGGACUAAAACGAUCCAAAGUGCAGCUUCAGCGGUACUCGAUAUGAUCAGCACGGCUUUCUACCCAGGGCAGCACAGACUGUGGGGCACCACAAAAUGAAAGACAUCAAAAAGCAGGAUUAACCUUUCUGGGGAAGGGAGUGAAUGUCUGUCAGCGUUUGGGACAGCAGAAGGGAGGCGCCAUUUGGCAAUGACCGUCGUAUUUAUCCCUCUGUAAGCUGGGAUGGCUGGUCAGCUCCAGUACAAACCAGUGUCCUCUCCAGACCCCUUCAUCAUGCGCUCGAUUUCACCAAAGCGGUCAGACUGACCUGGACUAAACAAACUGGAAGAAUAGCGACACAGAUCCGCCUAAUGGUCGCCGUUUAACUCCAUUCAUCUGCUGUCCAUUAUGCCCGUUCCCUCUUUGAGGACAGGAUUAUAGACGGCCUCAGUCACAAAGGUCAGAGGGCCGAGCAGACACUCCCACACCUCCGUGACCCGCUCUGAUCCCACGACCUCGGCACCAGCGGGCCCCCGCUCCCGGACCCGGCUUUCCCUCCCCGCCAGUUGACCGGCUUUGUCCUGUUUGUCCCGACCCGUUUUCUGCCGUAUCACUCACACACAUCAGCAGCAAGCUGAACAAUCAGGGGAUGGAAACCUGAUUACUGAGCAGCAACACUGCAAUCCACACCACACGCAAAUAACAGCAAGGAAAAAAAUGAUUUUUAAUACGAAUAUUCUGUUUUAUGAUCUUUUACUCCAUUUGAUUGGACUGAAUUCGAUCAUUUCCCAUUUCUUGAUCAUUUCUUCUAUUGCUUCUUCCUUUUUGUGUUGGAUCGUGAAAACUCUUAU